rnacentral:lncRNA from 1 species
UCUAUUUCCCCAAUAGUAGCUCCAUUAAUUUUUUUCAUGAGUCCCUCAUGUAAUUGACUCUAGGAACCCCCACACAAAGAAGCCCAGAUAACAAAUCUUUGAAUCAUAGAUUCACUCUAUUCUUCUCGGUGUUUAACUCCAGUGCCUAAUGCUCUUUCACCCAGGCCAGACUGCAGUGGUGCUAUCUCAGCUCACUGCAAGCUAAAUUUUUAUUAAUUCUUCAGAUAUCUAUUUAGGGCUUACCAUAUUAGGGGGAUAUGUGUUAUAACUUGUUU